rnacentral:rRNA from 1 species
UACGGGGGGAGCAAGCGUUGUUCGGAUUUACUGAGCGUAAAGGGCGCGUAGGCGGCCACCGCAAGUCGAUUGUGAAAUCUCCGGGCUUAACCCGGAAAGGUCAACCGAUACUGCGGGGCUAGAGUGCAGAAGGGGCAACUGGAAUUCUCGGUGUAGCGGUGAAAUGCGUAGAUAUCGAGAGGAACACCUGCGGCGAAGGCGGGUUGCUGGGCUGACACUGACGCUGAAGUGCGAAAGCUAGGGGAGCGAACGGG